rnacentral:lncRNA from 1 species
GCCCAUUCAUGGACCCUUUAGUUCCAUUAAGAAGCAUGACAAGUAUCUUUUUUAGUGGUAAAUUAGAAAUACUGCUUUAGACAUUCUUUUCCGAAGCAGUAAAUCAACAUCCCAUUUUUAUCAAGCUCUUAAGGGUGUUAGAUUGCACACGACAUAUUUCAUAUGCCUCUGCUGAUUGAUAUUUUGAGUUUUAAUUGUAUCUUGCAGAUAUACCUUUAGAUUGCUGCAAAUUAUGGUGUUCGUCCAGUUUCUCUUGCAAUAGGUUAUCCUAAUCUAUCUUGCUGUUAAUCACAUGCCACCAACACCAGAUUUUUUUAAUCUUAAAUUAUCCUUGUAUUUACUUCUUUGUGAUUGCCACCUGAAUUUAUUUUCCUUAUCUGGCUUCUUACAUUUUCAUAUUGUUUUCCUUAACAAUAUGAGAGUUCAUAAUGUUAGGCUAGAUUACUGGCAGAAGUUAAUUUAUAGCGUUCCUCAUGCUUGGCGCCAAUGAUGUUUGUUUAUUUUAUUUUUUAAUUUGAGAGAAGGAGAACCUACUUAUUUUUUGGGAUUUGCGUGCUCCCUUGUUAGAACCUCUAAGAGGUCCACUGAACUAGUAGUCCGUCGUUCGAGCCUCUCACUGGGGCCCGCUAUGCCAAAAGCGAGAGAAAUC